rnacentral:rRNA from 1 species
GAUGAACGCUGGCGGCGUGCCUAAUACAUGCCAGUCGAGCGAACAGACGAGGAGCUUGCUCCUCUGACGUUAGCGGCGGACGGGUGAGUAACACGUGGAUAACCUACCUAUAAGACUGGGAUAACUUCGGGAAACCGGAGCUAAUACCGGAUAAUAUAUUUAACCGCAUGGUUCAAUAGUGAAAGACGGUUUUGCUGUCACUUAUAGAUGGAUCCGCGCCGCAUUAGCUAGUUGGUAAGGUAACGGCUUACCAAGGCAACGAUGCGUAGCCGACCUGAGAGGGUGAUCGGCCACACUGGAACUGAGCCACGGUCCAGACUCCUACGGGAGGCAGCAGUAGGGAAUCUUCCGCAAUGGGCGAAAGCUUGACGGAGCAACGCCGCGUGAGUGAUGAAGGUCUUCGGAUCGUAAAACUCUGUUAUUAGGGAAGAACAAAUGUGUAAGUAACUAUGCACGUCUUGACGGUACCUAAUCAGAAAGCCACGGCUAACUACGUG